rnacentral:rRNA from 1 species
UACGUAGGUGGCAAGCGUUGUCCGGAUUCAUUGGGUUUAAAGGGUGCGUAGGCGGACUAUUAAGUCAGUGGUGAAAGCCUGCAGCUUAACUGCAGAACUGCCAUUGAUACUGAUAGUCUUGAGUUUGGUUAAGGUAGGCGGAAUGUGUAGUGUAGCGGUGAAAUGCAUAGAUAUUACACAGAACACCGAUUGCGAAGGCAGCUUACUAAUCCAUCAUUGACGCUGAGGCACGAAAGCGUGGGGAUCAAACA